CUGAGGACUCUCUCAUCAGCAACACGUUCACAUGUGACACACAAACCUGCUCUCACGAGGGAGGAGAGCGAGCAGAGAUCAUCACACCUGGUGCUUCUCUGGACGUCUACCUGGAGAACAGCUCAGUCAUCUGUAACCAUAGCAACCAGGUCAGCUCUACAAGGGACAUCCAUAAAGAUUGAAGAUCUUUGUGUGAAGCCCGACGAGAUAUCUGGGGUUGGUUUCUCUAUCUACAGGCUGAAGAUAUACGUGGUCUCGAUCGGUCUGGUCAUCAUGAUGUGUGCCGUCAUCAGUGUUCACGUCGUAGAGAAGCUUAAGAAGAAAA